AUCUAUGACAAACAAAAGAAAAAACCCUAAUUGCUGUCUAUACCUCACUCUCUCAGUCUCAUCUCAUCUCAUCACUGUCUCUCUCACUCUCUCGUUUCGUUGUUAAUCUUCAUGUUUUGCACCGAUCGGCGAUCACUCUCAUCUUAUCACUGUCUCUCUCUUACUCUCUCGUUGUUCAUCUCAUCGCACCGAUCGUCUCACUCUCUCAUCGCACCGAUCUACUCACGGGUAAGCCUCUAUCUCUCUUAAUCUUUGUCUCUCUCUCUCUCGCCUCGAUCGAAUCUGAAUCUGUGUUUUGUGUGUUUGUUUUGGUCUGAAUCGCAUCACACCGAUCGUCUCACUCUCUCAUCGCACCGAUCUACUCACGGAUCUGAAUCUGUGUUCUGUGUGUUUGUUUUGGUCUGAAUCGCAUCACACCGAUCGUCUCACUCUCUCAUCGCACUGAUCUACUCACGGG